rnacentral:tRNA from 1 species
AUAGCUCUAAUUAAAAUAUAAUAUAAGUUCGUCAAACUUAAAUUGCUCUUAUAGCGAACUAUU